rnacentral:piRNA from 1 species
UGUGGAUUCAGGAAGCCCGGGGUUCAUUC